rnacentral:tRNA from 1 species
AAAAUUUUAGUUUAAAUAAAACAUUUAGUUUGCAACUAAAAAAUAUUUAAAAUAUUAGUAAGUUUAA